rnacentral:rRNA from 1 species
AUGAACGCUGGCGGCGUGCCUCAUACAUGCCAGUCGCGCGAACAGACGAGGAGCUUGCUCCUCUGACGUUAGCGGCGGACGGGUGAGUAACACGUGGAUAACCUACCUAUAAGACUGGGAUAACUUCGGGAAACCGGAGCUAAUACCGGAUAAUAUAUUUAACCGCAUGGUUCCAUAGUGAAAGACGGUUUUGCUGUCACUUAUAGAUGGAUCCGCGCCGCAUUAGCUAGUUGGUAAGGUAACGGCUUACCAAGGCAACGAUGCGUAGCCGACCUGAGAGGGUGAUCGGCCACACUGGAACUGAGACACGGUCCAGACUCCUACGGGAGGCAGCAGUAGGGAAUCUUCCGCAAUGGGCGAAAGCCUGACGGAGCAACGCCGCGUGAGUGAUGAAGGUCUUCGGAUCGUAAAACUCUGUUAUUAGGGAAGAACAAAUGUGUAAGUAACUAUGCACGUCUUGACGGUACCUAAUCAGAAAGCCACGGCUAACUACGUG